rnacentral:snRNA from 1 species
AGCCGUGCGGUGAGCACAAAGCGAACUAUUCUUUCGCCUUUUACUAAAGAAUACCGUGUGCACGCCGCUAUCAGCGGCAUACGCCUAUUUUUGGAGGGUUUUCCCACAGUGGAAAGCC